rnacentral:lncRNA from 1 species
CUUGAAGGUAGUUUAGAGAGUGGAAAACCAAAGAGCUAGGAAAGUGAGCAAGAAAUUGUAACCCGACAGCCAUAGACAAAUGGGGAAAGCUGAGAAGUUAAUUUAGUCACAGUAAAGAUACACGAAUUUUAGGCAACGCACUGAAAUGAAAUGACACUUGAAAAGUAUGGGAGAUUUGUACAGAGAUCUGACAUCUUGAUCUCCUUCAUCUGUACUGGUUCCCAGUUGUCAUCUCCCGUCAGCAUCCUAGAGAUUCCCUUUGUCUUUCCAACGUCAGGUCUAUUUCUAGUUAAAUCCCCUUAUUUCUCCUUUCAUUAAUUUAC